rnacentral:rRNA from 1 species
AGUGAACGCUGGCGGUAGGCCUAACACAUGCAAGUCGAACGGCAGCACAGUAAGAGCUUGCUCUUACGGGUGCGAGUGGCGGACGGGUGAGGAAUACAUCGGAAUCUACUUUUUCGUGGGGGAUAACGGAGGGAAACUUACGCUAAUACCGCAUACGACCUACGGGUGAAAGCAGGGGAUCUUCGGACCUUGCGCGAGUGAAUGAGCCGAUGUCGGAUGAGCUAGUUGGCGGGGUAAAGGCCCACCAAGGCGACGAGCCGUAGCUGGGCGGAGAGGAUGAUCAGCCACACUGGAACUGGGACACGGUCAAGGCGCCUACGGGAGGCAGCAGUGGGGAAUAUUGGACAAUGGGCGUAAGCAUGAUCCAGCCAGACCGCGUGGGUGAAGAAGGCCUUCCGGUUGUAAAGCCCUUUUGUUGGGAAAGAAAAGCAGCAGGUUAAUACCCAGCUGUUCUGACGGUACCCAAAGAAUAAGCACCGGCUAACUUCGUG